CUUCCUCCCUCGGACAUGGCGCUCACCUGCCCGGCGGCAGCAGCCGGCUCCGGCGCCGCGGUUCGCGGGUCCGGGCGGAAGAGCAGCUCCAGCUUCAGCCGUGGGGUGGAAGGAGGCGGCGGCGGCGACGGCGGCGGUGACGGCGGCGGCGCGGCCCGCGGGCCCAGGUGUUAGCCCUGAGGGAGCCCGGGGAGCCGGCCGGGGCGCGCAGGGUGCAACGGGGCGCGCACUAGCCCCGGGACGCAGCCGGCAUGGUGUCCCAGGUGCUGCAGCUGCUCCGGCAGGGCGUGUGGGCCGCGCUCACCGGGGGCUGGUACCACGACCCGGAGCAGAGCAAGUUCACCAACAGCUGCCACCUCUACCUGUGGCUGUUCCUGCUGCUGCUGCCCCUGGCCCUGCACCUGGCUUUUCCUCCAAAUGCGAUCAUUGUAUUUUUCUACUGCAGUGCAGUGACUAUAUUCUUCACAAUAAUCAAACUGGUCAGUUAUCGCCUACACCUCAUGUUUGACAAAGGAGAAGUAAUUCAACAAAAGCCAUCCAGAAAGGAAGAAAAGCCAAAUAAAGACAAGGAGGCCAAAGGUGAACACAUAACUAAUCACAAAAACCCAAGCAAUAAUAGGCAGUUUCACAAUGGCAAAAAGGAAGAGGCCAGUCGAAACCUCUCCACGCCUCCCCUCCGCUGCAGCUCCAGAGGGCAAAGCAUAACCUCUCAUCACUCUUCUGGGCCAUUGGAGUUGUCAGCACAGGAAACCGUAGAAGAUCUCAAAGGUGUCAUUCUAUCAGAAGACCAUCCCAUAGCACCAGUGUCAUCUACCUCACCUGGUAUCAAAAUGGAAAGUUUACCUGCUUGUCAAGCACACAGGCUGGAAACCAUGCCCAAGUCAGCAAUACCCGUAAAACCAGUUGUCACAGAAACUCUCAUCAAUGGUAAAGGAAAGGAAAGAGGAGGCAAGGGGCAGCCUCCUUUGCGCCACAGAUCCGAGGGUGGCUUAGUGGAUAAGGGACCCUUGAAGAAGUUGCCCCACCUGUCUUUGUCUCAGUAUGACUUACUAGAAACAGACGUUUCUUUCCAGCCGUGGGGGAGUGAGAAUUCAGUCCUGAUUCCAGAACCUGUCAGUUGUCCCCAGGGUUCCAUAAGGGAACGGGUACAAAGCAAGUCACCCCAGGACAGCCUGAGCAGCAGCUGCCCUCAGUGUGACACCAUCGUGGCCAAGCCUGUGGAGGAGCCAGCAGACACAUCCUGUCAGGUGGAUACUUCCUGCCAGGUGGACCUACCCUUGAACCAGGAAGUGGACUCCUCAGAUAGUGAGGUAGCUGUUACUCUCAUCGAUACUUCUCAACCCGGAGACCCACUGAGUCUACAUGAACCCAUAAAAAUUGUUAUCACGAUGAGCAGUACCCCAAACUCCAUGACAGAUUUGGAAAGCUCCCUCCACCUGAAGGUGGUUGGCAUAGAGAAGACUGGUGUAAAGUCUGACGCUGAGCCAACUAACCCAGGGGCGGCCAUUUCUCCCAAUGCCGAGCAGAUCUCAAUUCCCGUGAUCACCCUGGACCUGCCUGAGGGUGGGGGAGGAGGUGUUCCCUGUCCCGAAGGCAAUGGAAGUGAAAGGACUCCAGAGAGACUGAAGGCAAGGGUAUCCACCAAUCAGUGUUCUGGCUAUGGAUCUGGGGAGGGGGGAAGUGCCACCAAGGAUCACAGUUCUUCCUCACGGGAACCCUGGGAAUCGGCGACCCGGCUUACGCCUGAUACGGCCUCUGAGUCUAAGGUGGGGAAGGAAGGCCUGACUAACCUUGACCCAUUGUCUUGUAAGUCCAGCCAUGAAAAGAGGCAUGCCCGGGUGCUCAGUGUGGACAGUGGGACAGAUGUCUUCUUGAGUAAAAGUUCUGCAGAAAUUAUUAAUGAUACAGAGAAAACAAUGCCAACUUCCAAAUCUGACCUAGAGGCUAAGGAAGGACAAAUACCAAAUGAGUCCAACUUCCUGGAAUUUGUCUCCCUGUUAGAGUCCAUUAAUACUUCCAAGAUGGCCGCAUCCAAUCAGUUGAAUGGCUCAGCAGAGCAGAAUGAAGAAAGUGGGCUUCUCCGAGAUAACACUUGCCAGGAAAAAAAGGAGGAAAUCCUGGAAAAUGAAAAGCCCAGUGGACACAGUUCUAAGCAAGGAAAACCAGACUUACAAAGUCAAGACCAUACUAGCACCAGCCCCGCGUGCACUCAGCCUGCCAAGACUACGGCCUUUUUCCAGGGCAAUAGACAAAGACAGAUAAUCUACAGGGUAACUUCCCAACAAGAUAGUUCUGUCUUGCAAGUCAUCAGUGGGCCUGAAACAUCUGUACAAGAAGAGAUAUCUGUGGAUGCUAUGCAUGUCUUCAUUGAUGAACAUGGGGAAAUUAGAUCCUGUUAUUUAAAAUCUGGAAAUCAGAAAGAAGGUCCUUUACAGCCUCUACCAUCAAAUUAUGACUGUCUCUCUCAGGCUCGAGAGAUGCAGGUCAGCUCCUCCAGUACCACAACUUCUGAGAGUCAAGAUCCGUCUUCUGGGGACCCUGCUGUCAGUGCCCUUCAGCAGCAGCUGUUACUGAUGGUGGCUCGCAGGACCCAGUCAGAAACCCCACGGCAUGUGAGUCAGGAUCUGGAAGCCUCGUCAUGUUCUUCAACACAAGGAAAAUUUAACCGAAAACAGUUUUACAAAUUUAUCAUUUUCCCUGGCAAGUGGAUUAAAGUCUGGUACGAUCGACUGACCUUGCUGGCAUUACUUGAUCGAACUGAAGACAUCAAGGAGAAUGUACUGGCGAUUUUACUCAUUGUCCUGGUUUCCCUCCUUGGAUUUCUGACCUUGAGCCGAGGCUUUUGCAAAGAUAUGUGGGUGCUCCUCUUCUGCCUCGUCAUGGCCAGCUGCCAGUACUCCCUGCUAAAGAGUGUUCAGCCUGACCCCGCCUCACCAAUACACGGACACAACCAAAUCAUAACGUAUAGCAGACCGAUCUAUUUUUGUGUGCUGUGUGGCCUUAUUUUGCUUCUUGAUACAGGGGCCAAAGCCAGGCACCCUCCCAGUUACAUUGUGUAUGGCCUGAAGCUUUUCUCUCCAGUGUUUCUCCAAUCAGCUAGGGACUACCUAAUAGUAUUUUUAUAUUGCUUCCCUGCUAUUUCCCUCCUUGGACUCUUCCCGCAAAUCAACACUUUCUGCAUUUAUCUUUUGGAGCAAAUUGACAUGCUGUUUUUUGGUGGUUCUGCUGUGUCUGGGAUAACUUCGGCUGUUUACAGCGUGGCCCGGAGCAUCUUGGCUGCCGCCCUGCUCCACGCAGUCUGCUUCAGUGCAGUGAAGGAACCGUGGAGCACGCAACACAUCCCGGCCCUGUUUUCAGCCUUCUGUGGCCUCUUGGUUGCCCUUUCCUACCAUCUGAGCCGGCAGAGCAGUGACCCGUCUGUACUCAUGUCCUUCAUCCAAUGCAGACUGUUGCCUAAAUUUUUACAUCAAAAUCUGGAAGAGUCAGCUGCUGACCCUCUCCCCAAGAAGAUGAAAGAUUCAGUGAUGGAUGUCUUAAAAUGGGAUCUCAUCGUCUGCGCAGUGGUUGCUGUCCUCUCAUUUGCAGUCAGCGCCAGCACUGUAUUCCUGUCAUUGCGACCAUUUCUCAGCAUCGUGCUGUUUGCCUUGGCUGGUGCCGUGGGGUUUGUAACACAUUACCUGCUCCCUCAGCUCCGCAAGCAUCAUCCCUGGAUGUGGAUUUCACACCCCAUUCUCAAAAACAAAGAGUAUCAUCAACGGGAAGUGAGAGAUGUCGCCCAUUUAAUGUGGUUUGAAAGACUCUAUGUUUGGCUUCAGUGUUUUGAAAAAUACAUCUUGUACCCAGCACUAAUUUUGAAUGCCCUCACUAUUGAUGCAUUUUUAAUAAGCAAUCACCGGAGACUUGGUACCCACUGGGACAUUUUUCUGAUGAUCAUUGCUGGCAUGAAACUGUUGCGGACUUCAUUUUGCAACCCAGUUUACCAGUUUAUUAACUUGAGCUUCACUGUCAUCUUUUUCCACUUUGACUACAAAGAUAUUUCAGAGAGCUUCUUACUGGAUUUCUUCAUGGUGUCCAUUUUAUUUAGCAAGUACAAGGCGUGUGGAUAAUUCCAACACAAGACUGGCCGUCCAAAUUGAAAGAGAUCCAGGGAAUGAUGACAACAAUCUCAAUUCCAUUUUUUAUGAACACUUAACAAGGACCCUCCAGGAGUCCCUCUGUGGAGACUUAGUUCUUGGUCGUUGGGGCAACUACAGCUCUGGCGAUUGCUUUAUUUUGGCUUCAGAUGACCUCAAUGCCUUUGUUCACCUGAUUGAAAUUGGAAAUGGUCUUGUCACCUUUCAACUUCGAGGACUGGAAUUCCGAGGAACCUACUGCCAGCAGAGGGAGGUGGAAGCCAUCAUGGAGGGCGAUGAGGAGGACAGAGGCUGCUGCUGCUGCAAACCAGGCCACUUGCCCCACCUGCUGUCCUGCAAUGCUGCCUUUCACCUCCGCUGGCUCACCUGGGAAAUCACGCGGACGCAGUACAUCCUGGAGGGCUACAGCAUCCUGGACAACAACGCGGCCACCAUGCUGCAGGUGUUUGACCUCCGAAGGAUCCUCAUCCGCUACUACAUCAAGAGUAUAAUAUACUAUAUGGUAA